GAUGAACGCUGGCGGCGUGCCUAAUACAUGCAAGUCGAGCGUACAGACGAGGAGCUUGCUCCUCUGACGUUAGCGGCGGACGGGUGAGUAACACGUGGAUAACCUACCUAUAAGACUGGGAUAACUUCGGGAAACCGGAGCUAAUACCGGAUAAUAUAUUGAACCGCAUGGUUCAAUAGUGAGAGACGGUUUUGCUGUCACUUAUAGAUGGAUCCGCGCCGCAUUAGCUAGUUGGUAAGGUAACGGCUUACCAAGGCAACGAUGCGUAGCCGACCUGAGAGGGUGAUCGGCCACACUGGAACUGAGACACGGUCCAGACUCCCACGGGAGGCAGCAGUAGGGAAUCUUCCGCAAUGGGCGAAAGCCUGACGGAGCAACGCCGCGUGAGUGAUGAAGGUCUUCGGAUCGUAAAACUCUGUUAUUAGGGAAGAACAAAUGUGUAAGUAACUAUGCACGUCUUGACGGUACCUAAUCAGAAAGCCACGGCUAACUACGUG
rnacentral:rRNA from 1 species